GGUUAAUAUGAUAAGAAGAGAAGCUCUGCUUGGAGAAUCUUUCUCUGAAGUUUUUGGAUCCAGAUUUGGCCUAAUGAAGUGUGAGAAAGCAUCUGCAGAAGGACUGGAAACUGAGCAGAGGAAAAGUGACAUUUAAAGGCAGUUUUGAGCAUGAGAUGACAUUUUGGAAGACAACAGAGCUUCAGGAAGAUUCUUGAAUUCUGUGGGAAAGGAAAAGUCCAAGAUUUCUACGAGAUGGAACAUUUUAUGCAGCUUUUUUCAGU